rnacentral:lncRNA from 1 species
AUGAGAAAGAGUAGUACAAUGAACCAGGGAAGGGACUCUAGGGAAUACCAGAGCUUAAGGGACAGAUAGAAGACAGGGAGAAGGUGGCAGAAAAGAAGCCUGCACUCCAGGUUAGAGGAAGGAAGAGCCAUGCAUUCAGGAUCCCUCUGGGGAUGGUGAACCCGUGUUCGACUGCAAGGGUAAAUGAAUUUUCAGCAAAUGUUGCAGGUUCCCAAUUAUUA